rnacentral:rRNA from 1 species
CAAGUCGAACGAGAAAGGGGAGCAAUCCCUGAGUACAGUGGCGUACGGGUGAGUAACACGUGGAUGAUCUAACUUCUAGUGGGGAAUAACCCCGGGAAACUGGGGAUAAUACCGCAUAAGCUCGAGAGAGGAAAGCAGCAAUGCGCUGGAAGAGGAGUCCGCGGCCGAUUAGCUAGUUGGCAGGGUAAAAGCCUACCAAGGCAAAGAUCGGUAGCCGGCCUGAGAGGGCACACGGCCACACUGGCACUGAAACACGGGCCAGACUCCUACGGGAGGCAGCAGUGGGGAAUCUUGCACAAUGGGGGCAACCCUGAUGCAGCGACGCCGCGUGAGCGAUGAAGCCCUUCGGGGUGUAAAGCUCUUUCAGCAGGGAAGAUAAUGACGGUACCUGCAGAAGCAGCUGCGGCUAACUACGUGCCAGCAGCCGCGGUAAUACGUAGGCAGCGAGCGUUGUUCGGAGUUACUGGGCGUAAAGGGUGCGUAGGCGGUUGUUUAAGUUUGGUGUGAAAUCUCCCGGCUCAACUGGGAGGGUGCGCCGAAUACUGAAUGACUAGAGUGCGGGAGAGGAUAGUGGAAUUCCUGGUGUAGCGGUGAAAUGCGUAGAUAUCAGGAGGAACACCGGUGGUGUAGACGGCUAUCUGGACCGUAACUGACGCUGAGGCACGAAAGCGUGGGUAGCAAACAGGAUUAGAUACCCUGGUAGUCCACGCCCUAAACGAUGCAUAUUUGGUGUGGGCAGUUCAGUCUGUCCGUGCCGGAGCUAACGCGUUAAAUAUGCCGCCUGGGGAGUACAGUCGCA